UACGGGGGGGGCAAGCGUUGUUCGGAAUUACUGGGCGUAAAGGGCUCGUAGGCGGCCAACUAAGUCAGACGUGAAAUCCCUCGGCUUAACCGGGGAACUGCGUCUGAUACUGGAUGGCUUGAAUCCGGGAGAGGGAUGCGGAAUUCCAGGUGUAGCGGUGAAAUGCGUAGAUAUCUGGAGGAACACCGGUGGCGAAGGCGGCGCUCUGGGCCGGUACUGACGCUGAGGAGCGAAAGCGUGGGGAGCAAACAGG
rnacentral:rRNA from 1 species